rnacentral:tRNA from 1 species
GGGCGAUUGGCGCAGGGGUAGCGCACCACUAUGACACGGUGGGGGCCAUUGGUUCAAAUCCAAUAUCGCCCACCA